AUCUAGGUAGCUUAAGUUUAAAGUUUGAUAUUGAAGAUAUCAAGAUAUAUUUUUAUCCUGGAUA
rnacentral:tRNA from 1 species